AGGACUAUGAUGUACAGCGCGGCAGAAAGGAUUAUGAUAUGCAGCAGCAGUGCAUCGACUGGUAAAAACUCUGCGUGUUUAAGUGAUGCUACGAAAUAUAACAAAAUGCGUGCCGGGAGUGCCGUUAAUGCCGGGAGUGCCGUGAUAAUUUCGCGCAAGUUCGAAACGUCGAAAGCGAAUCUAUAGAUGAACGCAUUUCCGCUGCAUGCAACUACAAAUACUAGGACACGAUUUUUUCUCGACUUUGAGCUCGGCUCGGGGAAGGGAAAGAUCGAUUUUUAUGGGAUUCCGAUAAGAGGCAGAUUCCGAAGUGCUGCUGAGGUGCCUGGUUUUCUAGUCGGUUGAUCCCACGACUAAUUGCACCUUACAUUCUUCGAGCUUAUCUUUUGCUUUCUGUUUUGAGAGAAUAGUGCCUCACUUGACAAAUGCGGUCGUCUGAACACGGACGGAAUUUACGCGUAACGUCGCAUCUUGAACAAUUCGGUUCGAUUCGCUUGCGACGUCGGGAGUGUCGUUUAAAGUGAGUCGCACGAUUUUCGUAUUCGAGUAUGUGCGCGAGCAAUGCAUACGUCGCGAACGCGUGUGAGUGUCUCGAAAAAUCGCUCGCGUGCGAGGGUCUCGAAAGGAGAAGGACGCCUCGGGAAGCAUCGGGUGACAGCAGAGCAACGAAACAGUAUUAGCUAAAGUGCAGGCAGCGAUGGCAGCGAGUCACGGGAAGCAGACAUCACUAUUUGUCAAAAGGAAAAGACAGAUCGAUCACGAUAACGAUGGCUUUAGAGAUUUGAUCCCUGAAUGGAAUCGGCAAUGAAAGCACGUGAAUGUGCCAGCGGCAUUGAUUAGAGAGAAGUGAAAAUUAAGCAAAAGAGCUCUCAAUAUCAAGUGCUGUUACGUUAUUGAAAUCAAUGUACUUACCGCAC